rnacentral:rRNA from 1 species
ACGUAGGUGGCGAGCGUUGUCCGGAAUUACUGGGUGUAAAGGGCGUGUAGGCGGGAAUGCAAGUCAGAUGUGAAAUGCCGAGGCUUAACCUCGGAGCUGCAUCUGAAACUGUAUUUCUUGAGUGUCGGAGAGGAAAGUGGAAUUCCCAGUGUAGCGGUGAAAUGCGUAGAUAUUGGGAGGAACACCAGUGGCGAAGGCGACUUUCUGGACGAUAACUGACGCUGAGGCGCGAAAGCGUGGGGAGCAAACA